rnacentral:tRNA from 1 species
UCCCUGGUGGUCCAGUGGCUAGGACUUUGAGCUCCCAAUGCAGGGGAUGUGGGUUCGAUUCCUGGUCAGGGAA